rnacentral:rRNA from 1 species
CCUACGGGGGGCUGCAGUGAGGAAUAUUGGUCAAUUGGCGCGAGCCUGAACCAGCCAAGUCGCGUGAAGGAUGACUGCCCUACGGGUUGUAAACUUCUUUUAUAAAGGAAUAAAGUGAGGCACGUGUGCCUCUUUGUCUGUACUGUAUGAAUAAGGCUAGGCUAACCCCGUGCCAGCAGCCGCGGUAAUACAGAGGAGCCGAGCGUUGUCCGGAUUUAUUGGGUUUAAAGGGAGCGUCGAUGGGUUGGUAAGUCAGUUGUGAAAGUUUGCGGCUCAACCGUAAAAUUGCAAUUGAUACUGGCAGUCUUGAGUACAGUAGAGGUAGGCGGAAUGCGUGGGGUAGCGGUGAAAUGCUUAGAUAUCACGAAGAACUCCGAUUGCGAAGGCAGCUUACUAACCUGCCACUGACAUUGAUGCUCGAAAGUGUGGGUAUCAAACAGGAUUAGAUACCCUGGUAGUC